rnacentral:tRNA from 1 species
AGUUAAUGAACUUGAAUAAGUAUAUGUCUUGAAAACAUAAAAUAGUAAUUAAAUCUACUAUUAACUU